rnacentral:sRNA from 1 species
AUGGACCACUCGUACACUUUGGCGCCGAGCGCGCUGCCCAUCCAUCUGACCUCUGCUCGCCACGUUUUUUAGCC